UACAGAGGUCCCGAGCGUUGUUCGGAUUCACUGGGCGUAAAGGGUGCGUAGGCGGUCGGGUAAGUCUGAUGUGAAAUCUCACAGCUUAACUGUGAAACUGCAUUGGAUACUAUUCGGCUUGAGGUCUGGAGGGGGGACUGGAAUUCUCGGUGUAGCAGUGAAAUGCGUAGAUAUCAGGAGGAACACCGGUGGUGUAAACGGCUUUCUGGACCAUAACUGACGCUGAGGCACGAAAGCGUGGGGAGCAAACGGG
rnacentral:rRNA from 1 species